rnacentral:tRNA from 1 species
GGAGAAUUAGUUAAAAUUUUAUAACAUUAAUGUGUCAGGUUAGAAUUGUCUUUUUUAGAUGUUCUCUUAUACCA